rnacentral:lncRNA from 1 species
GACACUCCUGCUGAUGACGUUCUCUGUCACCGUGGCCACGUAGGCUUUGAUGGUGUUGGCCAGCUUGAGGCAGGACUGGUUGCUGAUCAGCUCUUCCAAGUUGGAGCCCUCCUGCUGCUGAUUGAUAAGCUGCAGACACCUCAGUUCCUCCGAGCUGCCCUGCGACUGAGCUUUGAGCUUGGAGAUGGCCAUGGUGAAGUAGACAAAGAGUCCGGUGGUGGAGGCGAUCUGCAGGGCGAGGAUGGCCAUGACGGCCACGCUGCCCCAGAGAGGCCCGCACCUCCGGCGCCGCUCCCGCAGCCCCCCGGGAUCGGCGCCGGGGCCGUCCCCCAGCAUGCGGGUGGCCGAGCCGCCGCUGUCGGAGCGCAGGUACUGCCCGGCGCUGGGCUGCUGCGGGGCCAUGGCCGGGCCGUCGCUCCCCCCGCUCCGAAGUGCCCGCAGCUCCGGCGGGACGGACCGGGGCGGGGACACGGACGGGGGCGGCCCCGGGUGGGAGAGGGGGUGGUCCCCGGGCUGGGGAUCGAGGGUGGCCUCGGGGGUGGGGUCUGUCCCGCACCUCCCCCCUGCGCGGCGGGAGAGGGGCGGUGGGUGUUGGUGUGCUGCGAGGAUGGGGGUCUGUGUCCUUUGUGAGCCGCACGAGGCCUGCAGGGCGGUGGAGGUGCAGGGCUCGGGGACGCCCUGCUGUGGGCGGUGGAGAAUCCCUGUGCUGCCUGGGCUGGGAACGGGAGGCCUCGGGGUUGGGACAAUGUUGUGGGUGAUGCAGACCACGCAUCUCCAUGGGGUGUCGGGGUUGUCUGCGAGGCUGUGCUCUGCUGGUGAGCGGUGUUCCCUGUCCUCCUGAAGUGGGAAUGUUGAGUUGUUUGGAAAGCAAGCAGAAAACUUGGAGGAGGGCUGCUGCCUGAUGUCUGCCAGUCGCUGCUUUGUGCUCAAGUGACCGCGGUCUGUAGUGUUUUUACCUCUGCAAUGCAAGUGAGAUCUUCUUACAUAAAUACUAUAGUUCUCCCAGAGCCCCCGUCUCUUCUCUAAGGAUGGGAUGUGGGAAAACUGUGGGUUGGCCCCAGGCCAAACCCACAGGCAGCUCCAGUAACCCCAAGUGGUACCCUGGGGUAAACUUUAUGAUUUAUAGUGAAAUGGGGAGCCGACUGUGAGCAGGAGAGGCCCCUGGUGUGGCCCCUGAUGGAGGCAAGGACACAGGCACUGCUGCAGCCUUCGCAGGGGAGGAGAACCCCACACCUCCGGAGCGAGAGAGCUGCUGGGAAGAGCCAGCACAGCAGUGCCUCGCUUCUUCAGUGCUCUCACACCAUGAAUGGUGGCUUUUCUUUUGCUUAGGAAAGGGUCUUGUCCCAUUUUACAUUCCUGCCUGCCAGAAUUGGCGCUGUAUCUUCCACUGAAUCCCAAAAGCUCUGUCUUUCUGCAGACAGAUUUGCCCCAGGGAGCAGCUGGUUGGGAUGCAGGAGGAGGGAACUAUUCAGGGGUACCACCUAUUUAAAACAAAGGAGCAGUUCCGUUAUCUCUUUUUACAAGUCAUCGCGGCUGCUCUGGUUCCUUUGUAUGCCUGGGGGUGAAGCAGCAGCUCCAUAAUUGCCUUGGGAUCAGCUGGGGAGGGGGUACAGGAGUUGUCCUUUCCCUCAGUUGCCAGGGCAGGAGCUUGAACUAGAACUUCUCAAACGUCCUUGCAGUCCUACUUUGCUUGUGCAUUCUUCUUUCUGUGUCCAAAUGGAGCACAGGAGCUCCUGGCCAUAUUUGGAGGGUCCCUCAUCAUACCUCCUGACCCUUGCUCUGUGGACUGAGUUGCACAGCAUGUACCCCAGGAGCAGUUCUGAGAGGGUUUCCUUUGCAGGUCUCCCCCCAUCCAUGUUUGCUUUCCCAUGAGGUGAUGGUGGGUUCGUAAUCUCAGUGCUUUCAUAGCCUCAAGCCCUGAGUGUGCACCCAUUUGCAGUAAUCCCUGCAGCAGUGGCCAGGUAUGUCAGGCUUCUCUGGGCUGCUGAUACGUACUGCACACAGAGCAGCCACAUGAGUAGUAGUUAUGGCUUCCUAGACAUGGAGAAGUGGGUAACUAGUCACCUUAUCUGCUUUUAUUGCUUUUAUAAAAGUCUUUGCUGAGCCUUGAAUAAUGCAGCCUCUGUACAAAUGUUUUCAGAUUGCUGAUCUAAUCACUCACUUUCUGUGCAAAGAUCUCUACCACCCUUUCCCAGCAUCCACUCUUUCUGUGGGAAGUGGCUCCUGAAUUCCUGGUGAUCUGUGUUGUAGGGACAUGGAGGGAGAAGGGACAGCAUUUCCUUCCCAAGUUAUAACAGGAAAAAUACUACUGAGUUGUAUACUGGGGGAUCUUCCAGCCGAAAGCAUCUGUCAAGUCACUGAGUGGUUUCUGUUGGCUCCGUGCAUGACACGGUGCCCGCAGCCCUUGAGAGGCUGCUGCUCUGCUCAGGCAUUGGUGUGGCACUGUUCUGCCCUGGCAUGUGUUGGGAAGUGGAAGACAAGAAAAGCGGCAUGCCAAAUUCAUCAGUAACUGGUGGUGGACAUGGGCUUGAGGGGGCAAAUGCAUUUGCAAUUUGGAACGUGGAUACGUGUGCAGAAAGCAGCUUGGGUAGCACUCAUCCAUGUGCUGUGCUCCUGGCCCACCUGCUGCUCCAUAGGGUGGGGAAGGGGCCCACCUGGGCCCUGCUGGUGAGCAGCAGGAUGCCCGGAGCUUCAAGCUCUCAGUAGCUCAGAGCUGCUCUCUGUUCAAUGGAGAUGGGAGGUUUGCAAAGCAGCCAAGCCUGAGUGAGGGCAGGACCAGCACUUGGACUGCAGAAAGAAAAUUGGGUGGGAGCCAGAUAAAAAAAAUGCCUCCUGAGACUGGCUGGGGAGUUGUUUUUUACUUCUAAUAUUUCCUGGUCCGUGCAGUAGGAGAACUGGGUCAGCCGAGCCUGGAAAGUUGUUUCCUCAGCACUCAGUGAUGCAGAACCAGUGCAGAAAAGUGGGAGAGAGUGUUUUGCUGGGACCUCGUAUCAUCACCAAGGUGCUGGGAUAGGGGAAACCAGGCAGAUACUGCCUGCACAGGGAUGUGAGCUGUUGUCAACGGUUUAAGCAUAAAACCAUGACAGCUGUGUGAGUUUUGCAGUCCGCCACUUGGAUUCUCUUUGGCUUUGCUUCAGGCGUGAUGGCUGAAUGUGCAAUGUAGUAACGUGAUUUUCCCAGGCUUUAUGGAGGUGAUAGUAUGACUAGGAUCCACUGGGUAAGCCUAGACUGGAUCCCCCUUGAGCUGGGUUAGCCAGGGCAUUCAUUCCUUCCCAGUUUGCACCUCCUGGAGAUCCAGUUCUCAGUUUCGUGAGGCUGCUCCUUUAAGGCAAGCCACAGCCUUGGCCUCACUGGCUUGAUUUCUAACAUGUGUUGGCUACAUGAUCUUUAGUCAGGAAACAGCAGCCCUCCCGGGAUGUGAAAUCAGCGCACGCAGCUCAGAAAUGUCUUUGCUAACCUUUCUGGUAUGCUCCCUCAAACAUUUGUCUUUCGAUUUGAACUGAUCAAUUCCUCUGCCAAGCCUUAUGCGAAAGAUCUUCUUCUGCACCAGAUCGUACUCCCAGGGCUCAAUAGGAAGCUUGAUGCUUCCAGCUGAUGCACCGAAUCAGCUCAUCUUCCUGACCAGUCUGCCUCAACUACGUUGAGAAUCCACAUCUGUGUGGGGCUCAGUUCUGCCCUCAGGGAGCACCUCUGCUGUGGUGGUGGGGACCAGCUCAGAAAAGACACGGUGGUUCACCUUAUCCUUGGGGCAGUGUGCUAUUUUACCUUGUAGUAGGAACCUGGGAAACAGUGGACUGGUAGUGAUGUGUCUCAGCCCUUCUGUGCCUCAGUUUCCAUCUGCUCAACAUAGGCUUUCAGAGGACCUGUGUGGUUGCCCACAUGCUUGAGAUCCCUGGCAGGAAGAUGCUUAGCUUGGGCAAUGCUCUGGUGUAUGUCCUUCCUAUGGGAUGCUGCAGGGACGUACUCCGACUGAGUGCAUUCAGACAAAGGGAGGGAAGGCUGAUUUGGAUGCACAUCAAAGGCUGUGAGAAAACACACAAAUAGCAGGAUUGCUCUCAGGGUGCUCAUUAUAUAGAAAUAGUGCAAAGGAACAGAUGCCAACAGGGAAGUGCUGGGAUGCUGAUCCCCGCUCCUACAGCCAGUUUCAGGCUUUUCAAGAAGUGGUGUUUUCCCUUGCCAUGUUUCCAAGCAGAAAGUCGCCAUUCCUCCAUCCAGCAUGGGCAGGAAAGAGCUGGAGAUGGCUGUGGCAGACCUGCUGCUGCCUGAACAAAGACAGAUGAUUAAAGCCAGGCGUCUUAUCUCCUCCACCCAGAAUACCAGAGAUUUUACAGCACAUUUAACUUGCCCAAAUUUCACCUGUUCCUUAGAGUCAGUUAGAGACAGACAAAAAGGAGGAGGGGAGGGGGUAGGAGGAGGACGCUUUGGUGUCUAUCCCUUGAUGCUGUGGCUGUGGGCUCACUAGGAGCAGACACACAGCCCACAGGCAGGGUGUGUGCUGGGGGUUUUUGGGGUCACAGGGACAUUACCGAGGAAGGGUCAGGGUAAGUGGCCAAUGCAAGCAGAUGCUCUUGGAAAAAAAUAAAGCCUCAAUUCAGAAUGGGAGAGACUGAAGUGUUUUAGCCUGGGGCUGAUGGUGCCCCUUUGCCCUCUCAGGGGGCCACAAGAGCGAGUGUGGGAGCACAUGGUUUGGCUGGCUUGGCUGUGCAGGCUCUGGCAGCUGCAGGCACCAAGGGAGGCACAUCACCACAGGGCUGCACAGAGGUUCCCUGUGCCAGCAGGCCCAGGAAGGGGUAACUCGAGCAGACAUGACUCAGCACCCAAACCACAUGACUCAGCGCCCAAGAAAUGCUGGCUGACGAUGCCAAAGUGGUGAUGCAGCAGUCUCUCUGCACCCAGUCCCUCUCUGGGACUGGCAGUCCCAGUCUGCCUGAGACCUCUGUUGAACCAGCAGAAAAUCUGCCCAGCCAACCCCAAAAGUUUUCACAAUGGAGGGAUCUGUAUCUAUGAGAGACAUGCAGAGAAACGCUUCCUCAGCCAUAUCCCAAAUGUCUUUCUGCAAAGGGAGUCUCAGCCCCUGGGGAGGGAGCAAUGAGGCAAGCAGAACAAUGCAAGUCUGUCUCAGAAGUGGUCCUAGAGGUUGUGCAGGAGAGCUGUGUCUGCCUAGUUGUUCAGAUCACACACUGCUGAUGCUGUCAGUAAUGCCCAUGGAAGGGUUUUUUUUAUAGUGAAUACAAAGUCCUUUGCUGCCUGUGUUGAAAAGAGCAUGGCAGUGUAUGUAGCACAGUGCUGGCAGUUCAUCUAAAUGGAGAAUUGCUUUCUAGUUUUGUCCCAAACCCACCUGAGUCAGCAUUGGACUGACCUCAGAGAGAGCAAAACCCCAAGGCCUCUGUGCUCUUCUUUCCAGCACACACGCAGACAGACACAGACAUGUGCAGUGUGUGCUUUCUCUGCAAGGCAUGCAGACCCUCUGUUGUGUUCUAGGGAAUCUGGAGACACAUGCAAACCAUAUGGAGGCUGCAGGGGAGACCAAUUUCAGUGGUUGGAGCUGACUCAGAACUUCCCACCGCAGGUUUCCUGCUGGCUCAGGACUUUUUCAGCCUUCUUCCCUCCCUAUCCUCAGAACUAUGGAGCUCCUUGAGAGGAGGCUCAUGUACAUCCACUACCCACGGAGCUGAGAGAGGCCCCUUCCCCUUGUCAAGGCAGCUCACAGGGCAGGGUGUACUCACGACCUAGCAGUACUUUUGUAGAAACAUCCUUCUGGAAAUCACUGGGUGCACUUUGCCUGUUCUGGCCAGUUUAUUUGAAAUCUCAGUUUCUAGAUGCUGUGAUGGAAAGCUGGUUUGUGUAGUUCCCUGCAAACUGGCAGGGUCUGGGUUGGCUCAGCUCUGCUUCUCUUCUCACACAGCAUAACUCUCCCUGAUUCAGCUGCAGGACCCAUUUUUGCACCUCGAGGAAGGAUGUUUCCAUCUUAGGAUAGCUGCUGUCCCCCCUGAAUUGGGACACUGGGAUGCUACGCCUGACUGAUUCUGGGCUGCAGAGAAUAAAAGGAAGCUCUGGGUUUUGCAACAUCCUGGCAAAGCAGAACAUAAAAAGAAAAGGAAAGAAGUAAAAAAAAAUAGGACAGACUGAGCCCAGCCAUGCAGCACCCAGCUGAGGUCUUGGAGCAUCAGCUGCCCAUGUGUGCCAGCCGUGCUUCCUGUCCACCACCUCCACAUCCUACUUUCCUAGUUCUCAUUCAGCACAGCUGUCUCUGCUCUUGCUUUCACAGUAGGAAGUGAAACCCAGGAACAGCACAGCAGAGGGCAUUUGGGCAGCCCUCAUGCACUGCUGCUCUUGUCUUCCUGCUAUACAGGAUUGCAUCCAUGGAGAUCGCUAUGUGAAAGGAAGGCAUCUUGUGGUGUAGGGAAAGGUGGUUGUAUGUUUUGAGGUCUGGCUUUCAUGGCGUUAGCCAAAUGUAGCACCAGGCUGUGUGCUAGGAGGAGACAUAGGGGGUGGUUUCAUUUCCAGUCUGACCAAAGCACCCCCAGCCCUUUUUCCUUCAGAUCUGCGGGUCUGGGAAAGGCUGUUUCUGUGAUGCUUGGCAGGCAGCAGGGUUUCCGUGGAGUGGGGAGAGCAAUGAUGAGUUUUCCUGAUUAUCUGAACUCGUAGUUACGCAGAUCAGGGUCAGAUAGGCUUUUUCCAUCUAGACAGCACACAGACAGGGACUCUAUGUAUAAAGACCCCAAACUUCCUCGUGACUGCUCCAGAAGUCCCUUGCCAUGGCCAGGGCCAAUUGGAGACUUGCACAGGGUACCAGGAUGCCACCUGCCUCCCCCUUCCUGGCCCAUGGAGAGGGCCUGGCAGCAGUGAUGCCGUCGGGCUGGGGCCUGGAGCAGGGCGGAGCGCCUCGGCCGGGAGUAUCCCCAGACCCUGGUGGGAAGGAAGUUAGGAAGGGAAGAAGGAAAGGAGGAAGGAAGGAAGGAAGGCCCACUUCCUCCUCCUCCGCUCCGGGCUUCCGCGUCCGAGCGGGCCGCUGUGUGUCAGCCGGUCUCCGCGCUCCCUCUGGUGGCAGAGCCCGACGGCACAAAGUAGUGCGGCCUGAACAAAGUAGUGAAGAAAUGCUUAAACCCGUGCAGGAGCACGCGAAAGCCCCGCGGAGCCAAUUCAGUGCUGAACUUAAUAGCACCCAACGUCUCCAUGGGACACUGCCAGACGCUUCAGACUUCGGCUUUGUCUCAGAAAGUGAGCCAGAUGUGAGAAACGGCACAGGGCUGAGGGGAGCACUGGGGGCCUGAAGGGCUGGCAGGUCCAGCAAAGGCCAGCAGUGGCUAGCGAACCCUCAAACUGUCAUUUAAGACCCUUGCAGUAUUGCAACUCAGUUUAUUGCUUCUAAAAUCUCCCAUAAAUUCCAGGAAAAGAACUGAAUAGGAGCAGAGUGGGUUUUUUUAGCAGUUACUGAGGAUACUCCAAGAGGACAGAGCCUCAGGAGGUUGUUGUCUCCAUUGCAGGGCAGUAAGGGCAGUAUUUCCUGCCUGCAGCUUGCAAGCUUUCCACCCAUCCCCUUUUAUCUUACACAUGUUAACAGAGGUACUGAAAUGCAUUCUUCCAGAGAGAAGCAGGUCCCAAUGGAGCUAAGCAUAAUCCUCCUUAGCACAGUACGGAAUAAGUGAAGCUGGCUAAUCUUUCCUGUGAUCGUAUGCUCUAUUGGAGGGGUAUAUGCUGAAUGUACUAACUAUAAACAGUUAUUUUCUAAUGCGAUUUGAAACGCCUCCCAUGAAUUUUGAAUGAGAUACAUGACUCUUAAAUAGUUUUCAGUAAUCAGGUACCGCAUUUUAACUUACUGAUUAUUUCUGAGUGAGCAAGAGAUUGUCAGGAACAUAAAAUAGAAGAAUUAAUUUCCUACUUGUAUUUGCUCAAGUGUUUCUUUAACCCCCCCCGCCCCCCCCCCAUAACACUUCAGCAGUCUGUGUUUGUCAUUUGCUAACAAUAGGGUCACUCCAACAUAUUCCAGGCAGGAAAUCAUGUGCUGUAUAAAUAGGGCUCCAACGUAGAUGACAACAGUCUUUUGAUUUUGGAUGGUUUCAAGGGUGGGACUUUGAAGAACAGCUAUUCCUGCUCCUUCCUUAUAAGCAAGUAGUACAUUUUUGAAGUGAUUGAUUCUUGACAGUCUCACCCGAGACCUGACAAUAAUUCUUUCCUAUUUGAACAGCCCUUGCACUAUGGUAGAAACACUUAAUAUUUGUAGGUAUUUCCCAUGCAUGCUCUGGGUCAUCUUCCUCCAAACUGAUGUAUGCUUUCAAAGGGGACCUGUUCACUCCCCUUAACUGGAACAACUUUGAUUCAGCAGUAUCUGUCUGAUGGUGACAGUGACGUAAGUAAAACUCACAUUUAGAAUUCAAAGUUUACAUAGAAUUAAAAUGGAGAUGAUAAAAUGAUGUCAUGAGCAUUCAGAUGGGUGAGUAGAUACCCUACUGCGAUCUGAGGGUUCAUAAACAGAUGGUCUGUUUCAACAGAGUAAUGUGGAAACAAGAAAGAAGCAAACAAUUCUUUGAUGCUAUUUCAUCAAACUUUUAGCUCGUAGGAUUGUGCUUUGUCUGGGUCUGCACAGAACACUGCAUAGAGAACGGAUAGGAUACAGAGCACAGAGUAACACUUCUGUUAAUUUUUAAGGAGCAUAAACUGUAUCACAAGUGUGAUUAUAUGGGCUGUUUUAUCCAUUCCGUUGCCUCAACAGCAUAACUUACUGUAUGUAUGUGCUCUUUUAAACUAAGGGUGACAGGAUUGCUUUCUGUCUUUAGUGCACAAGCCCUACCUUAUGCAUUCAUAGGCUAUCGCCAUCUCUGCCUGCGCUGUACAGUUACGACCCAAUUAAGCCUCAAUAACUGCACAGAGCAACUUCUUUUUGAUUACGAUGAUUAUUUACGCUAACCUAACUUGUGAAGUGAGUACAUAAAAUCCUGUCAAUGUCCUCUGCGAAGAAAAAUAAUCUCUGAAGAAAACACAGAUAACUUGAAUCAUUUCUGCUUUCUAAGUAAUUGUUGCAAUUAUUAGAAAUUUUCACAACGUUACAGUGGUUAAGAAGAGUCAUGGCUAAAAGCCUUCUGUUUCUGAAGAUACUAAACUCAAGGUUAAGAAAAUGGGAUGAGAGACAUGAUUUGUAAUUGCAUUUUAGAGUUUGUACACAUAGCUGUGAUUUAAAGUAUAUUACGUUUGUUGGGUACUCAUUUGUUUCCUGAGAAUUGAUACUUUGACAGAUGAAAGGAGAAAGAGGAAAUAACAUGAAAACAGAUGAAGAUUAAAAAAAUAAAUAAAUCUCUCCAAACAAGAACAAAAAAAUGCCUCUCAGGAGGAGCUCUCCUUCUCCAGUUACCUCACACUGAUAACUUUUUGGAAUAGCCAGUUUCCAUCAGCUCAGUAUGUUUAGAAUUCAAACUAUAUUUGUGUUCAUUAUUGCUCUUCUUAUUACCAUGAAAAGAGUUCUGGGCCGAUGGAUCUCUCAUCGCCACCUCCCAUCUAUUUCAGGGUAUUUGCUAAGAAUAUUGGGUAAAUACUGAUCAACAUCCAACAUGCAGUUCUUAAAUUUCAAUCUUUAGGAUAACAAAUAAAACCCAUACUUACCUAGGGAAGUGAAAUGCAGUAAUACCAGCUGACGAGAAGUGCACUAAUAUUUCCACAGGUUUGGCCUUUUACUUUGUCAAGUAGUGAGAUUUUAUGUCUAUAAAUGUAGAUUUUAUGCAUGUAUUUAUAUGAAACAGACACACUCUACGUAUGUGCAUGUGUACAUGUGCUAUGUGCAUGUAUAUGUGGAGGCAUACGUACAUAUAUCUAAGCACUUAUUGUCAUGAGAAAAAUCUGACAUUGGUGUCACAGAAAGAAAAGAAGUAGCUUGAGAUAGAGCUCACUUUGAAGGCCACAGAUCUAAUGGUACAUUUUCCUAACAGAUAUCCAACCAAAAGAAAUGACAUACUGAAAGAAGAAUCCCUCUGAAGAGGAAGUUUAGUUGAGCCAGAAGCAUUUUGGGAAGUCAGACCAAUGCUUGUGAAAUGUUGUCUGGAUGUUAGUAGUGCCCAGACCACAGUGAUUUUCCUUUGCAAAGCAAGUCUGCUUCCUCAAAAGCAUUUAUAAAAGCUUUCUGAAGAUUUAAGUGGAACUGUCUGCUGUAGUCCUGUGAGUUUGACUGAUUUCCUUAUUUCCCCAAUCCAGAAAAUGUCGUUUCUGUGGCAAAACUCUAAUGAGUAAAUUUAUCUUGGAUACAGAAAGACCUGAGCAACCUGUUUUCUACUGCCUUCAUCUCUUUUCUUCCCCAGGCAAGAAAUUUGAUCAGUUUUUUCAUAGGCGGUUGACCAAAGGUGCUCCAGUCAGGGCAGGGAUCUGAAUUUGAAUCUCUCGUGUCCUGUGCAGUUGCUCAGAUUGGAAAACACCUGGGCAAAGUAAGGCCUUCCUCUUUGACGUGAGCGUUGUACCUUUGGUCUAAAAAUUCUCUGUGAAAAUAUUAAGCCAGUACAUUUCCACAGAAGGUCACCGCUUUGGCAAAAUUAUGUUUAUUCUAACCAGUUAUACUAACCGUGGUGGUAAGAAUUUGUUAUUGUAAUAAAUAUAUCCUGGAAAUACUGGGGAAAAAAUGUCUGUUAUGCAAAAUAUCACUAGUAAGACUUGGAUAACAGAUAGGUGGCUUCCUGAGCUCUCCUGGCAGCAGUUUGCUUCGGAGACUGAGAUAUUCUGCAUUAGACUUGUCAAGUAACAGCACAGGAAAUCUCUUCUUGCUUAUUAGACCAUAUACUCAUCUUGGGUUCUUGGUUCAGAAGGACAUAUCUUCAUAGCUGCAGCUGCUUGCUGAGUAUAGGCUGACUGACGUAGGUAAUUUUAGCACAUUUUAGCACAUUUUAGUACAUUUCACAUGGGACUAAAACUGUCUCCACUUUGAGAAAUUUCUCUCACACCCCGGAGUGCAGUGCAAGUCCACAGCCGCGACACAGUUCCCUGCAAGGCAGACAAAACUUCCAGAACUGUAAGAUGUCUCUCAGCAUCCUAUGAGGCACCCCAGAGCAGUGACUAUGCAGGGGUGGUUACCUAAUUGCGGAACCAUUCAUGCAAAUUGCCAUAGAAUUAGCGCCCACAUUUUAAUAAGCAUUCCAAUCAUUGUGUAGAACCACAUUUGCCACCCUACCCACUUAAAAAGCAGGUCACAAUUAAUCUUCACUUGCUGAAGUUUUCUUCUGUAUAUGGCAUUUCACACUGAACAAUUAACUUAAAAUUACUGGUGCAUGAUUAUUCCAUUAGGAGAUCAUUAUUUUCUGAAGUAGUUGUGCAGUUUCCUUCGAAACUGCAGGAGAAAACUUCUGUUUUUCUGUGUAAGUGUAUGUAUGUGUGUGCCUUUAUUCCCAUGCUUAAUUUAUUCCCGUAUAUCC